UACGAAGGGGGCUAGCGUUGCUCGGAAUCACUGGGCGUAAAGGGUGCGUAGGCGGGUCUUUAAGUCAGGGGUGAAAUCCUGGAGCUCAACUCCAGAACUGCCUUUGAUACUGAAGAUCUUGAGUUCGGGAGAGGUGAGUGGAACUGCGAGUGUAGAGGUGAAAUUCGUAGAUAUUCGCAAGAACACCAGUGGCGAGGGCGGCUCACUGGCCCGAUACUGACGCUGAGGCACGAAAGCGUGGGAGCAAACAGG
rnacentral:rRNA from 1 species